GAUGAACGCUGGCGGUGUGCCUAAUACAUGCAAGUCGAGCGAACAGACGAGGAGCUUACUCCUCUGACGUUAGCGGCGGACGGGUGAGUAACACGUGGAUAACCUACCUAUAAGACUGGGAUAAUUUCGGGAAACCGGAGCUAAUACCGGAUAACAUGUUGAACCGCAUGGUUCAUCAGUGAAAGACGGUCUUGCUGUCACUUAUAGAUGGAUCCGCGUGGCAUUAGCUGGUUGGUAAGGUAACGGCUUAUCAAGGGAACGAUGCGUAGCCGACGUGAGUGGCGGGUAGGCCACCCGGGAGGUGGGACGCGGUCCAGACUCCUGCGGUAGGCAGCAGUAGGGAAUCGGCCGCAGAGGGCGAAAGCCUUACGGAGCAGCGGCGCGUGAGAGGAGAAGGUCUUCGGAGCGUAAAACUCUGUUAUUGGUGAAAAACAGAUGUGGAAGUAACUGUGCACGUCUUGACGGUAACGGGUCAAGAAGCCACGGCUAACUACGUG
rnacentral:rRNA from 1 species